rnacentral:rRNA from 1 species
GAUGAACGCUAGCGGGAGGCCUAACACAUGCAAGCCGAGCGGUAGAGUUCCUUCGGGAACUUGAGAGCGGCGUACGGGUGCGUAACACGUGUGCAACCUACCUUUAUCUGGGGGAUAGCCUUUCGAAAGGAAGAUUAAUACCCCAUAAUAUAAUGAUUGGCAUCAAUUAUUAUUGAAAACUCCGGUGGAUAGAGAUGGGCACGCGCAAGAUUAGAUAGUUGGUGAGGUAACGGCUCACCAAGUCAAUGAUCUUUAGGGGUCCUGAGAGGGAGAUCCCCCACACUGGUACUGAGACACGGACCAGACUCCUACGGGAGGCAGCAGUGAGGAAUAUUGGACAAUGGGUGAAAGCCUGAUCCAGCCAUCCCGCGUGAAGGAUGACGGUCCUAUGGAUUGUAAACUUCUUUUGUACAGGGAUAAACCUACUCUCGUGAGGGUAGCUGAAGGUACUGGACGAAUAAGCACCGGCUAACUCCGUG